CUACGGGCGGCUGCAGUGGGGAAUAUUGGGCAAUGGGCGAAAGCCUGACCCAGCAACGCCGCGUGAAGGAAGAAGGUUUUCGGAUCGUAAACUUCUAUCCCAGAUGAAGAUAAUGACGGUAAUCUGGAAGGAAGCCCCGGCUAACUACGUGCCAGCAGCCGCGGUAAUACGUAGGGGGCAAGCGUUGUCCGGAAUGAUUGGGCGUAAAGGGCGCGUAGGCGGCCAUGUAAGUCCGACGUGAAAGUCCUGCUUUUAAGGUGGGAAUUGCGUUGGAAACUGUGUGGCUUGAGUGCAGGAGAGGUAAGUGGAAUUCCCGGUGUAGCGGUGAAAUGCGUAGAGAUCGGGAGGAACACCAGUGGCGAAGGCGACUUACUGGACUGUAACUGACGCUGAGGCGCGAAAGUGUGGGGAGCAAACAGGAUUAGAUACCCGUGUAGUC
rnacentral:rRNA from 1 species